UGGGGAAUAUUGGACAAUGGGCGAAAGCCUGAUCCAGCCAUGCCGCGUGUGUGAAGAAGGUCUUCGGAUUGUAAAGCACUUUAAGUUGGGAGGAAGGGUUGUAGAUUAAUACUCUGCAAUUUUGACGUUACCGACAGAAUAAGCACCGGCUAACUCUGUGCCAGCAGCCGCGGUAAUACAGAGGGUGCAAGCGUUAAUCGGAAUUACUGGGCGUAAAGCGCGCGUAGGUGGUUAGUUAAGUUGGAUGUGAAAUCCCCGGGCUCAACCUGGGAACUGCAUUCAAAACUGACAAGCUAGAGUAUGGUAGAGGGUGGUGGAAUUUCCUGUGUAGCGGUGAAAUGCGUAGAUAUAGGAAGGAACACCAGUGGCGAAGGCGACCACCUGGACUGAUACUGACACUGAGGUGCGAAAGCGUGGGGAGCAAACAGGAUUAGAUACCCCAGUAGUCCCUGAGCGGGCUGGCAAGGCG
rnacentral:rRNA from 1 species